AGAGUUUGAUCAUGGCUCAGGAUGAACGCUGGCGGCGUGCUUAACACAUGCAAGUCGAACGGUGAAGCCCAGCUUGCUGGGUGGAUCAGUGGCGAACGGGUGAGUAACACGUGAGCAAUCUGCCCCUGACUCUGGGAUAAGCGCUGGAAACGGCGUCUAAUACUGGAUAUGAGCUGCGAUCGCAUGGUCAGUAGCUGGAAAGAUUUUUUGGUCAGGGAUGAGCUCGCGGCCUAUCAGCUUGUUGGUGAGGUAAUGGCUCACCAAGGCGUCGACGGGUAGCCGGCCUGAGAGGGUGACCGGCCACACUGGGACUGAGACACGGCCCAGACUCCUACGGGAGGCAGCAGUGGGGAAUAUUGCACAAUGGGCGCAAGCCUGAUGCAGCAACGCCGCGUGAGGGAUGACGGCCUUCGGGUUGUAAACCUCUUUUAGCAGGGAAGAAGCGAAAGUGACGGUACCUGCAGAAAAAGCGCCGGCUAACUACGUGCCAGCAGCCGCGGUAAUUC
rnacentral:rRNA from 1 species